rnacentral:lncRNA from 1 species
GGAAAUUUUCUUUCAGUCACUUGGCUCUUGGUCCAAGGUCAUCACAAUCUGCUAUUGAAACACAAAAAGAAUUAGUAGAAAACAUAUUAUCUUUAUAACAGUUAACACAAUAAUCUGGAUUAUUAUUACCUUGCCAAACACUCAUCAGAAGAUUUUUAAUCUUUUCCCAAUUUUAUUGGGAUGCAUUGUUUUUGGCCAUAGUAACAGACAUUUUAUUGCCAUGGCAUUUAGGCCUCUCCAUAAGCCAUAGAGCAAAGGGCUCACUCACAUUAUUCAUUACAUUGUCUUCUAGAACAUCAUUACUUAGUUCUCAUCCUUCCAUCAGCACUUAUCUGACCAUGAAGGAAGUUGGAUGUAAUUUAAGUCAAACAUUAAGAAAAUCCAUACAUUGUAGGUUUUAAGACAUAGCCACAAAGGCCGAAAUUGAAUAAGCAAGGAAUAAUAUUUAAAGUAGUCACUUUAGGGAUUAUGAGACCAGCAGUUUGUGUAGGUCUGGUUAAUAGACAUACACCUGUUUCAAAGCCUGAAUAUUAACUUCAGCAUAUUAUAGUUCUGAAAUAUUAGCUGGCAAUAAUUAAUGAGGCAAUAAGUUGUAUUUUUAUAGGCUACAGGAUAUUUAUCAUUUUUUCUCUUUACUCUCAUAUUUAAGGAGUUAAUUAGGUCUGUCAGUAAUACAAAUACCCUUGGAAAAAUCUAUUUUAAUAAUCUUUCCAACAAUUGUCCAUAAAGGUAAAUGUAGUCUUAGUCACUAAAGUCCAGCAUAAUUGGCUGGCUUGGGUUUUUUAUCUGCUGUCUAGCAUAAGUUUCUGUCACUGGUGUGGUCAAUUUGUUGCUCGGCUAUUUGGCUACCUUGUCACGGGAGCUGGUGAUAACUGACUGGUGAAAAACCUCAAGUCAAUGUCCUGUAGCUCAGUUUCUUUUUGGAAUGUACACAACUGUUACAGGGUUUGAGUGGGUCUUGCCUGUCAAUCUACAUUUGUUAGAGUCUAUAAACAAGUCAAGAUGGCGCCUGGCAUUUUGCAGAGGGAGUGGUUUGUGAAGUAAUGCCAGUGAGCCAUUGUGUGGAGAUUCCUUAUUGGUUGACUGCUGUAUCUAGUUUAUGUUAAUUAAGAUAAGCUGUGUGGAAUGUAUAUAUACCCCUCCUGUCCUACAAUAAACGGCUCCCACUCCUGUAUCAAUGUACACAAGUUGUUU